CACAGCCAGAAGGCCAAGGUAUCACACUUUGAGACAAUGCCCUGGGCGAUUUCACAAUACAGCCACCUCCUCCCCUCCCAAAGUCAAGCACAGCACCCACAUCCCCGUGAGGCGGUGGUCCUCAAGGAGGAGGGUGUCUGACCUGGACAGUAAAUGCAGGAAAACUGGACCCAGACCUUGGCAUUCUCAGCUCUUUCUGCACUGAGAUUUGAUUCUCUCCAUCUCUCCAAGGAAGACCGGGAUGGCAAAAGGAGCAAGGCCAAUUAGCCCCACCUGCUAUGGGUGACUGUUUCUGACUCAUCCCGUGGGACAGGAAAAAACCAUCCCAUCUGCAUUCAGACUUAAUGACCUAGCACAUAACUGCAAGUACCUGAAGGGCGAAGACGAAGUCUGGUUCAAAAUCAUCUUCCUAGCACCUACCACAGUACCUGGCACACACCUUGACUGGACUGAAUUCAAACUCCUGGGCACAUAAGCUGAAGUCUGCACAGACAGGGAGGGGACAUUCUCCAGGCCCUACUCUUCCUGUCAGGGCACCCCCUCCACAGGCACACUCAGAGCCAACUCGCCCCUGAACAAUGAAGCCAUUCUCCCUCCUGUUCCAAGAGCACUGCCUCACAGACAGCUCCGCAGUGGGGAUUGGAAUGGCGCCCAUCCUAUAAACUGAGACCCGCAGAGACAGGUUAAGAAGAGACUGACCGGGAGACAAGGAAAGUGAGUGUUGAGUACAGGUGGAAGGAG
rnacentral:lncRNA from 1 species